AAAGACGAAAGACAAAAUCUCAAU
rnacentral:miRNA from 1 species